CGUCUAUAUACGUAUAGCAUAUCAAUAAGCGGAGGAAAAGAAACUAACAAGGAUUCCCCUAGUAACGGCGAGUGAAGCGGGAAGAGCUCAAAUUUGAAAUCUUCAAGGGUUUUCCCUUGACGAAUUGUAGUUUAAAGAAGUGUUUUCGGUUAGAGGAGGUGGUAAAAGUUCUUUGGAAUAGGACAUCAUAGAGGGUGAGAAUCCCGUAUUUGAUCACUUUCUUACUAAGCUUUGUGAUACACUUUCAAAGAGUCGGAUUGUUUGGGAAUGCAGUCCAAAAUGGGUGGUAAAUUUCAUCUAAAGCUAAAUAUUGGCGAGAGACCGAUAGCGAACAAGUACCGUGAGGGAAAGAUGAAAAGAACUUUGAAAAGAGAGUUAAACAGUACGUGAAAUUGUCAAAAGGGAAGCGUUUGACACCAGUGUUGUUUUUCCGAAAAUCAAUUAAAAAUGGCCGGAUUUUAAGUUUCAUGACCUUAAAAGCUUGUUUCUUAUUUUUCUUGUCUUUCUUAAUGCACUUUUCGGUUAACAAGUCAACAUCAAUUUCUUUUGUUGUAAAAGGAAUUAAGAGGAAGGUGGCUUGGACUUUCGGUUAAAGUGUUUAUAGCCUUUUACUUCUGCAAUCGGAGAGAUUGAGGUCUGCAGCAGUAGAUCCUUCGGGGCUAGAUACGUUUGUGCUAAGUUAUAGCUUUUCAUAGACAACUUGUUGACUAUGUUUAGUCUUGUAGCUUACUCGCAUGCGCUAUUUUACCUACGCUUAGGAUGUUGAUAUGCAUGACUGAUAU
rnacentral:rRNA from 1 species